AAAGAGCUAAUUAAUUAAAAAAGUUACUGUGGUAAAAUUAUUUUUAAUAAUUAAUUUGCAAUGAAAUGUUAUUCGUUUUUAAAUAUAUCUAGUUUUUUAAGAAAAAAAUUUAAUUUUAAAUUUUUGUAAAUAAAUAAUUAAUUAGUUAAUUAUUAUUAAUAAUAAGGUUUUAUAUUUUAGGGGAUAAGCUUUAAAUUAAAAUAUUAUAAUAAUUAAAAAUAAUUAUUGAAAAUUAUAUAAUUUAGAUUGUUAAUAAAAUUUAAUUUAUUAUAAAUAAUUUCAUUAAAAUAAAAAUUUAAUUUAAUUUAAUUUUUUAUUAAAAAAUAUUUUUUAAUAAAAAAAAAUAAGAUAUAAUGAUAAAAUUAGUAUAUAAUAUUAAUAAAAAUAAAAUUUAUUUUUAAUUUAAAUUAAUUAAUAAAAAGGAAUUCGGCAAAUAACUAUAUUCACUUGUUUAACAAAAACAUGUCUUUUUGUAUUUAAUUUAAAGUCUAAUCUGCCCACUGAUUUAAUUAUUAAAGGGCUGCAGUAUAUUGACUGUACAAAGGUAGCAUAAUCAUUAGUCAUUUAAUUGAUGACUUGUAUGAAGGAUUGGAUGAAAUAUUAACUGUCUCUUUAUUAAUAUGUAAAAUUUAAUUUUUUAAUCAAAAAGUUAAAAUAAAUUAAAAAGACGAGAAGACCCUAUAGAGUUUAAUAAAUAAAUUUAUUUAAAAUUAUUUAUAAUUUAUUAAUUAAAAUAAAUUUAUUUAUUUUGUUGGGGUGACAAAAAAAUAAAAUUAACUUUUUUUAAAACUUAAACAUAAAUAAGUGAUAAUUUGAUCCAAUUUUAUUGAUUAUAAGAAAAAAUUACCUUAGGGAUAACAGCGUAAUUUUUUUUUUUAGUACAAAUAAGAAAAAGAGUUUGCGACCUCGAUGUUGGAUUAAGAUAAAAUUUAAACGCAAAAGUUUAAAAUUUUG
rnacentral:rRNA from 1 species